UACGUAGGCAGCGAGCGUUGUUCGGAAUUACUGGGCGUAAAGAGUGUGUAGGCGGUGCUCUAAGUUCGGUGUGAAAUCUCCCGGCCUAACUGGGAGGGUGCGCCGGAAACUGGAGUGCUCGAGCGUGGGAGAGGAAAGCGGAAUUCCUGGUGUAGCGGUGAAAUGCGUAGAUAUCAGGAGGAACACCUGCGGUGUAGACGGCUUUCUGGACCAUUGCUGACGCUGAGACACGAAAGCGUGGGUAGCAAACAGG
rnacentral:rRNA from 1 species